AUUGAACGCUGGCGGCAGGCCUAACACAUGCAAGUCGAACGAGUGGCGGACGGGUGAGUAAUGUCUGGGAAACUGCCCGAUGGAGGGGGAUAACUACUGGAAACGGUAGCUAAUACCGCAUACCAUCGGAUGUGCCGUGAUGGGUGUAGCUAGUAGGUGGGGUAACGGCUCACCUAGUCGACGAUCCCUCGCUGGUUUGAGAGGAUGACCAACAACAGUGGAACUGGGACACGGUCCAGACUCCUACGUGAGGCAGCAGUGGGGAAGAUUGCACAAUGGGCGCAAGCCUGAUGCAGCCAUGCCGCGUGUAUGAAGAAGGCCUUCGGGUUGUAAAGUACUUUCAGCGGGGAGGCGUUACCCGCAGAAGAAGCACCGGCUAACUCCGUGCCAGCAGCCGCGGUAAUAC
rnacentral:rRNA from 1 species